rnacentral:lncRNA from 1 species
UCCUUUGAAUUACGAUAUUUGAUAACUAUUGCUCAUCGGGAAAGUGCGAAAGCUGAUACGAGAGCCUUGCGAGGUUUCGAUCGGCAUUCGAGGUGAAAAAUGUCUGUCGAGGCUUCGCAGCGGUUGUCACGGGCUCGAUGGGAGUUCCGGGUCGUGACAUAUAUACAUAUUAACUUAUAAAGUUAUAUCAAUUAAAUAAUAUAACUUGUACUUUCAUAUUAA